rnacentral:lncRNA from 1 species
CUAGGCAUUCUCUGAAACUAUGACAAGGGGCUUAAAACUCUUCCCACGUAUUGCCACAUACAGUACUCACCGCAAGCAGUCCCCUAAACUGUCUGGCUGUGGUUACAGUUCAGUUCUGAGCCAGGAAUGGGGCAGGACAGUGCUGAGCCCAGGCAGGCUACUGUGCUUUCAGCACGCUUUGCUGGAUGGAUGAGACCUGGCAUUCCCAAUUAGGGCACUCGCACAAAGCGCCGGCCGGGCCGUGGCAUUGCCAUGCAGCCCAGCUCUGCAGCGCUGGCUCCGCUGGCAGCUCCAAGGGAAGCGCACAUGGCGAUUUCUGUACAGCAGCAUAUGGGAAGGAUGUGGAAGGACGACUGGUUUCUCCCAGGCUUGUGAGGAGCUCCCAUCAGAAAGCAGCAAUUCAAAAUGGAAGGACACAUCUUUUGCACCUGGCACUUCAGGCAAACAGCAGCUGAAAGAGAACUCUGUAACAUGUCCAUAAUAGGCUGCUCCCCUGCCUUCAGGAGCAAGUGGCCAUUUCAAUGGCUGCAGAUGUUUGUGCAAGAAUGGACACUGCUCAGUACCAUUCUCUGCUAAUGCCAGAGUCCUUGUAGUCAACAGCUUGAGCUCUUUAAUUCAUGAUACAAUCUUUUUGCUAAAAGGUCUCAAGGAAACACUGAUAGCUUCUGCUACGAGUGUGCAAGGGAUGUGUUGGUUUAAAAGGUCACAUUGAUGUCCUUCAUUUACUUACAGUAAAGGCCUUCAUUGUAUUUUUCUGAUUCUGCCUGCCCGAAUGGAUAGGCAUGUUAGCUGUGUAGCUUGCUGAAUUCUGAACACAGAAAAAAACCCCAAGUAUGUUAUAACUGGUUCUCAUUAAACUGCUAAAUGGAAUACUAAAAGGUAGCUUAAAAUCAGGUGCAUUUAAUAAAGUUAUAUUUGAAUUGGCA